rnacentral:lncRNA from 1 species
GUAGGCUGCAGGCUGAGGAGGGAAGACUCACCCUGGGUGUGGGUGGUACCAGCCAAUAGGCUUUUAGCUGGGAUGGAAUACAAAGGGAAAGAAGGAGGAAAUCUGCCCUUUUCUUUGGAGGAGCUCCGGUCUUCACCCUCAUCUUUGGAUGUUCAUUUUCAGCCUUCUAGGGCAGACCUUCUGGUUUCCCAACAGGGAUUCACAUUGGCUCUGCAACCUUGGGCUGGAUCCUCUGGCUCUCCAGUGCACAGACGGCCAUUCAGACAGAGACCAGGACCAGUGCUUCCAUUUCCUGGGGACUUUCAUUGAGAGGUCACAAGAAAGGAAGGUACUCAGUUGGGCUGGAUGAUAGAAUUCUUCCUUAAGGCACAUAGCAAAUGCUGGGAAGCCUGUGGGAGGAGCACAGUCCUGUUGGGAAAGCACAGGGGAAAUGUCCUGUGACUCCAGGGGAGAUCAGAGCAGACACAGUUGUCUGAGCUGGAACCUCUGGGCCUUUGUUGGCUCAUCUGUAAAAAGGCUGAAAUACUGGUGUCUACAGAGUUAUCGUAAGGACGAAUGGCAUCGUUGAUAAAACCUGGCACUCAGGAA